GCUGGCAGGAGAUUUCUGAGCCGGACCAAUCAGUGCAAACAAAAAGAGGCCGAUCUGAAUCACAACCCAGCCCAGAUUCCGCUCGACCGGGCAGCGGGGUUCUGUCUGAGCCACCAGUAAAUAAGGUAACAGCGGAUCUGGGCAGAGGGGGCGGUGACAUUUUAACCAAAACAGGGCGGGCCCCUACCAAACCAAAACCGGGGCCCACAGGCCGGUGCCCGAAAAAAAUCCCGCUGCAUCCGAGGCUCUUUCUCCUCGUCCUUCCGCCUGAUUUUAAUACAAUGGCCGCCGCCGCCGCUUAUUUACGGCCUUUACCUUUCCAUGCUCUUCUCGGAGCCGUGAAAGAGUCAGUGGCUGGGUUGGGGCGGUUUGCCGGCGGCGGCACAAGGCCGAUGCUGCGAGUCUGCCAUUUCCUCCUGAGCCGGAGGCCGAGCGUGUGUUUGACAAACACUCAGGAACUGGGAGUCCUAAAGAAAUGUUUAUGCAUGUGAUAACUACAGCUGCACAACUCCUCACUCCGCGUCCGCAUAGAGAGAGCAGGUCUUGUCAUCCACACUGUCGGAGCGGAAAAUAUUUCACACUCGCAUCAUUCACCCAAGAAGCUCGAAACGCAGCUUUCUUUUUCCUCGACGACACCGCUCGGUCUUAGCAAGACCCACCGCCCCACGCCAUCUUGCUUCGGGACGGUCCGGAGCGCAGCACGUGACACAGGAGGCGGGGUAGAGGCCUGGCACGUGACAGCGACGUACAUUACAUGUUGUGACAUUACACCGGGGGGGCGGAGCGCGAGCACCACACGUGACACGACCGCGGACUGUGGAGACCGUGACCAGUCACCACCAAUGUUCAAAACAGCCGUACGACUCGGAAGGUAAACAGAGUGUCUGACAGCUGAAAAUACCACGAGUGACAGGAUGCACGUUAAGCACUGAGCCUGCUCUACCACUGACUACGAUCAUGGCUGACUGUGGAUCUCAACUCCAUCUUUUCAAAACAACGACUGAACACUUGUUAGGGUGAAGAAUCUGAUACAUAUUUACCAGAGAAUAAAAUUACCAAAAUUGUUAUCAGGGAACAUCUGUUUAUAAAAUUAAAAGAUUAAAUAUGUAAAAAUAAAGGCAUUGGUCCUGAUGGGCUGAACGAAUUUCUCAAA